GAUGAACGCUGGCGGCGUGCCUAAUACAUGCAAGUCGAGCGAACAGACGAGGAGCUUGCUCCUCUGACGUUAGCGGCGGACGGGUGAGUAACACGUGGAUAACCUACCUAUAAGACUGGGAUAACUUCGGGAAACCGGAGCUAAUACCGGAUAAUAUAUUGAACCGCAUGGUUCAAUAGUGAAAGACGGUUUUGCUGUCACUUAUAGAUGGAUCCGCGCCGCAUUAGCUAGUUGGUAAGGUAACGGCUUACCAAGGCAACGAUGCGUAGCCGGCCUGAGAGGGUGAUCGGCCACACUGGAACUGAGACACGGUCCAGACGCCUACGGGAGGCAGCAGUAGGGAAUCUUCCGCAAUGGGCGAAAGCCUGACGGAGCAACGCCGCGUGAGUGAUGAAGGUCUUCGGAUCGUAAAACUCUGUUAUUAGGGAAGAACAAAUGUGUAAGUAACUAUGCACGUCUUGACGGUACCUAAUCAGAAAGCCACGGCUAACUACGUG
rnacentral:rRNA from 1 species